UACGAAGGGGGCUAGCGUUGUUCGGAAUUACUGGGCGUAAAGCGCACGUAGGCGGAUCGAUCAGUUAGGGGUGAAAUCCCGGGGCUCAACCCCGGAACUGCCUCUAAUACUGUCGAUCUCGAGUUCGAGAGAGGUGAGUGGAAUUCCGAGUGUAGAGGUGAAAUUCGUAGAUAUUCGGAGGAACACCAGUGGCGAAGGCGGCUCACUGGCUCGAUACUGACGCUGAGGUGCGAAAGCGUGGGGAGCAAACAGGAUUAGAUACC
rnacentral:rRNA from 1 species